rnacentral:hammerhead_ribozyme from 1 species
AUACAGCUGACGAGUCCCAUAUAGAACGAAACGUAUGUCCUGAAU